rnacentral:lncRNA from 1 species
GGGAGCAGAGAGCAGUGGAGUGGGCUGGCAUAUUCUACAGCAGUGUGCUUCCAUUUAUGCUCUUGCCUUGGGCUGCAGAAAUGUUAGGGCAGGCCUGGAAGCAAGGCACAGAGAUGGUUCUGAGCCGACAGAAGAGAGACAGAAAGGUCCAGAGGUGUAAUUUGGGAAUCCAAUCACAAGCAGGCAUAAGGCAGCCAAGAAGGAUGAGCCGGUGAUCUCUGCAGUCUGCCCAUAACUCCACACAAAACUUUACCCAUUGUCACAGGAGAGUAUAAGCAUAGCAUAAAGAUCCUCAUAGAUGGACUUUCAGCUCCAUGCUUAAAGCAACUGACAAGAAUCCAUUUCUUUUCAGUGUACAAGUGAAGGGUAAAAGACAGAGAAGGAAGACAGAGCAUAGGAAAAAGAGUGGGGUGGUGAGUGAAUGGUAAAUAGGUGGCAGUCCUGUGUACGAUAAAGAUCUCCCUGAACUCCUAUCAUCCCAUUCCCUUCUCUGCCCUCUAGGUACCAUCUGUGCAUGUGGACACUGACACCACAACCGCACAUCUGCUUACCUCUUGCAGUGCUCUGUAGUCUGCACCUACUAUGAAGUCCUUCCAUCUCCUUGCACACAUCAUUUCUCUCAGCUCUGCACUUUGGCACAUGGAGUUCCCUUUUCUCCUCUCUUCCUCCCACCUGCCUCUUCAAAUGGUGACAUCUUACUCACCCCUCCCAUCUGAUCACAAUGCUCAGGGAUGCUCCCUUUGGCCUUUCGAUCCUGGGUAGUUACCCUUUGGCCUGCUUCCAUAGUUUCCUAUAUUUCCCCCAUAAUAGCAUUAGUACAUGAUAUUGCAAAUUUCUGCUUACUUAUGUGUAUCUUGCACUAGACUGAAAGCUC